GCCAGAAAAUUGUUUGCCCAAACAAACUGAUCAAACAGAACCUGUUGUUGAUUUAGAUAUCAUUGAUUAUUUGAGCAAAGAUAUUUUUUUAUACAAAUCAAGAUGAUAUACUAAACAAUGAUCCUUGCAGGGAAGAGAGCCAAAAAGAGCCAGAACUAAAAGAAACUAACUGUUACAUCCAACAGGUGGACUGCGAUCACGCACAGAACAAAGGAGAGCCAAUCACACCUCUUCAUAUCAAUCUUGCGCAGUCAGAAGGAACUCCAACUGAACCACCUCAGCUUGGACCGCAGGACAGUCCUGCAACUCUUCUAGUUGCACCUCUUCAGCUUCCAUCGCAUGAAACUCCUUUCAUUCUUCCAUUGCAAAUCAAUCUUGCGCAAGAAGGAGUACCUGAAAUCCUCUCAGGCGCAUCCUUUCAGCUUCCAACACAAAUCAGUCUUCCACCUCAGUUAGGUCCUAUGCAGAAGGAGGAAACUGAAACUCCUUUCAUCCUUCCAAUGCAAACAGUCCAUGCCCAGGAGGAACAAAUGGUAGUCCAAUGGCCCAAACCAAAGGAGCAUGCAGAUCAAUGCCUGCCCAAACCUACAGAUAAGGUAGAAUUUGUUUUGCCUGAACUUAAUGCCAAAUUGUAGCCACCCAUGGAGAAAUAUCAAUUGAAGUUGGAAGUGCUAAAAAAUGCAAACAUAAGGGCUACAGGCACACCUCAUCUGAAAGAGGAGAAGCUAAUUAUGUUACUUCAUGAGUACAUGGAAAAAGUAGGAUGGGCUAUGACCAAAUCAAAAAUAGUGCUACACUUUUUGCUCAAUACAGUUGGGACUCUCUUCCCCUCUCCAAUUACUUGAGCCUUG
rnacentral:lncRNA from 1 species